GGUUUAAUAGUGUAGUGGUUAUCACAGUGGAUUUUGAUAAUGCCGUAUAGAGCAUGUCCUCUUCCAUUAACCCAGGUUCGAAUCCUGGUUAGACCU